AGCCUGAUGCAGCCAUGCCGCGUGUGUGAAGAAGGCCUUCGGGUUGUAAAGCACUUUCAGCAAGGAGGAAAGGGUGUAAGUUAAUACCUUACAUCUGUGACGUUACUUGCAGAAGAAGCACCGGCUAACUCCGUGCCAGCAGCCGCGGUAAUACGGAGGGUGCGAGCGUUAAUCGGAAUUACUGGGCGUAAAGCGUACGCAGGCGGUUUGUUAAGCGAGAUGUGAAAGCCCCGGGCUUAACCUGGGAACUGCAUUUCGAACUGGCAGGCUAGAGUGUGAUAGAGGGUGGUAGAAUUUCAGGUGUAGCGGUGAAAUGCGUAGAGAUCUGAAGGAAUACCGAUGGCGAAGGCAGCCACCUGGGUCAACACUGACGCUCAUGUACGAAAGCGUGGGGAGCAAACAGGAUUAGAUACCCUGGUAGUCCACGCCGUAAACGAUGUCUACUAGGAGCUCGGCUUUUCGGAGCUGUUUUCCAAAGCAAACGCAUUAAGUAGACCGCCU
rnacentral:rRNA from 1 species